rnacentral:rRNA from 1 species
UUAACACAUGCAAGUCGAACGGGAAAUAUUUCAUUGAGACUUCGGUGGAUUUGAUCUAUUUCUAGUGGCGGACGGGUGAGUAACGCGUGGGUAACCUGCCUUAUACAGGGGGAUAACAGUCAGAAAUGGCUGCUAAUGCCGCAUAAGCGCACAGAGCUGCAUGGCUCGGUGUGAAAAACUCCGGUGGUAUAAGAUGGACCCGCGUUGGAUUAGCUUGUUGGUGGGGUAACGGCCCACCAAGGCGACGAUCCAUAGCCGGCCUGAGAGGGUGAACGGCCACAUUGGGACUGAGACACGGCCCAGACUCCUACGGGAGGCAGCAGUGGGGAAUAUUGCACAAUGGGGGAAACCCUGAUGCAGCGACGCCGCGUGAAGGAAGAAGUAUCUCGGUAUGUAAACUUCUAUCAGCAGGGAAGAUAGUGACGGUACCUGACUAAGAAGCCCCGGCUAACUACGUGCCAGCAGCCGCGGUAAUACGUAGGGGGCAAGCGUUAUCCGGAUUUACUGGGUGUAAAGGGAGCGUAGACGGUGUGGCAAGUCUGAUGUGAAAGGCACGGGCUCAACCUGUGGACUGCAUUGGAAACUGUCAUACUUGAGUGCCGGAGGGGUAAGCGGAAUUCCUAGUGUAGCGGUGAAAUGCGUAGAUAUUAGGAGGAACACCAGUGGCGA